GCCAUGAUGAUUCUCUUUUGGCGUGUUAGACUUCUGAUGCAGAUGAAGAGACAUUGAAUCUGAGC
ensembl:snoRNA small nucleolar RNA, C/D box 104